rnacentral:rRNA from 1 species
GACGAACGCUGGCGGCGUGCUUAACACAUGCAAGUCGAACGAAGUGGCGAACGGGUGAGUAAUACGUGGGUAACCUGCCCUCCUUUUUGGGAUAAGCCUUGGAAACGGGGACUAAUACCGAAUAAAGGGGGAUGGGCUCGCGGCCUAUCAGCUUGUUGGUGGGGUGAUGGCCGACCAAGGCGGUGACGGGUAGCAGGCCUGAGAGGGUGACCGGCAACAUGGGGACGGAGAUACGGCCCAGGCUCCCACGAGAGGGGGCAGUGGGGGAGAUGGCACAAUGGGCGAGAGCCGGAUGCAGCGACGCCGCGUGGGGGAUGAAGGCUUUCGGGUUGUAAACCUGUUUCGCUAGCGAACGGGUAGGUGGAGAAGAAGCGCCGGCUAACUACGUGCCAGCAGCCGCGGUAAUAC